CUGGGCCUGAUAGACAUCAUCUUCCAGUACAUUCACUGUGAUGAGAUCUAUGAGGCAAUAAACAUCCUGAGCAGCAUGAACUGGGACACUCUGGGCCACCAGUGCUUUAUCAGCAUGAGCGCCAUUGUAAACCAUCUUCUUAGACAGAAGCUCACUCCAGAGAGAGAAGCACAGCUUGAGACAAGCCUUGGAACCUUCUAUGCUCCAACAAGACCACUUCUGGAUUCCACUAUAUUGGAAUAUAGAGAUCAAAUCAGCAAAUAUGCAAGGAGAUUCUUCCAUCACUUGCUCAGGUGAAUGAUAUGUUUGGAUUGAUUAGCGUCAGACUAAUUACUUAUUUCAGGAGACAUCCUCUUUAAUUAAAAUAUUCCAUAGUAAGGCUAUGUGUUUCCUAACAGUCCAUCUCCUCAAAGAAAUAUACAUCUUCUUUUGGUCUUAUUUAAUUUGUUAUUGUUUUCAUUUUAAGGAAAUAUUUGAAUAUUAUUUGGGGGUUUUAUAUAACCAAUACUUUUUAAUAUACCUUCCUCUUUAAUAUGAAAGCUAUGUAAAGUCAAUGUAGAAAUAUUAACUGAAUUGUGCUACUCGCACUAAGUAAAUAUUUUCUUUUUAAUUGAAGCUAAUGAUGUGAAUGUUCUGUAAAGCUCUGAGACAGUCAUUAGUUUGUUUUUCUUUAAGAAUUACUGUAGAAAAACUUGUCCAUUGUCUGCUUAUAUAAUGUGGCAAGUUUCUAGCUUCACCAUACCCCAUUUUCUCUGCUUUAAAUGGGUAUAAUAAAUUUUGUUAACCUAGAAAAUAUGUGAAAAAUAAUGUCAAGAGAUUUCUCUAAGAAA
rnacentral:lncRNA from 1 species